UGUGAGGGGGAGUGUAUGCGUGAGGGGGAGUUGAGUGUGAGUGUGGAAGGGUGAGUGUGCGAGGGUGUGAGUGUGAGUCUCAGUGAGUGAUGGUGUGAGUGUGAGCGUGGGUGUGAGAGUGUGUGUGAGGGGGAGUUCAGUGUGAGUGUGCAAGGGUGUGAGUGAGUGUGACUGUGUGUGUGAGUCUCAGUGAGUGAUGGUGUGUGUCAGUGUGAGUGUGUGUGAGUGUGAGUGUGUGUGUGUGAGGGUGUGAGUAUGGGGGUGUGAGUGUGUGUGUGUGCCUGAGGGUGUGAGUGUGUGUGUGUGUGUGAGUGUGAGUCUCAGUGUGUGAUGGUGUGAGUGUGUCAGUGUGUGUGAGUGUGUGAUGGUGUGAAUGUGUGUGAGUGUGAGUGUGUGACUGAGGGUGUAAAUUGUGUGUGACACUGCGAGUGUGUGUGUGUGAGUGUGUGUGAGUGUGAGAGUGUGCUGGUGUGAAUGUGUGUGUGUGUGUGAUGGUGAGUGUGAGUGUGUGCCUGAGGGUGUGAGUGUGUGUGUGUGUCUCAGUGUGUGAUGGUGUGAGUGUGUCAGUGUGUGUGAGUGAGUGUGUGUGUGUGAGUGUGACACUGCGAGUGUGUGAGUGUGAGUGUGAGUGUGGACUGAGGGUGUGUGUGUGAGUGUGACACUAAGAGUGUGUGAGUGUGUGUGUGUGUGUGUGACACUGUGUGAGUGUGAGUGUGUGUGUGAUGUCAGUGUGUGAUGGUGUGAGUGUGUGAGUGUGAGUGUGUGAGUGUGUCAUAUGUGAGUGUGAGUGUGAUGGUGUGUAUGUGUGUGAGUGUGAGUGUGUGUGUGAGUGUGACACUGCGAGUGUGU
rnacentral:lncRNA from 1 species